UUGGUGUUGGCAGAAUAGUGCAUAGGCUUUAAGCGCUUAAUAUAGUUUACUACACUAAU
rnacentral:tRNA from 1 species